rnacentral:rRNA from 1 species
AUUGAACGCUGGCGGCAGGCCUAACACAUGCAAGUCGAACGGUAACAGAAAGCAGCUUGCUGCUUUGCUGACGAGUGGCGGACGGGUGAGUAAUGUCUGGGAAACUGCCUGAUGGAGGGGGAUAACUACUGGAAACGGUAGCUAAUACCGCAUAACGUCGCAAGACCAAAGAGGGGGACCUUCGGGCCUCUUGCCAUCGGAUGUGCCCAGAUGGGAUUAGCUAGUAGGUGGGGUAACGGCUCACCUAGGCGACGAUCCCUAGCUGGUCUGAGAGGAUGACCAGCCACACUGGAACUAAGACACGGUCCAGACUCCUACGGGAGGCAGCAGUGGGGAAUAUUGCACAAUGGGCGCAAGCCUGAUGCAGCCAUGCCGCGUGUAUGAAGAAGGCCUUCGAGUUGUAAAGUACUUUCAGCGGGGAGGAAGGGAGUAAAGUUAAUACCUUUGCUCAUUGACGUUACCCGCAGAAGAAGCACCGGCUAACUCCGUG